AAUGACAGAUAAUCUUACCCUCAUAUAUCUAUGGGAAUAUGGCCCAUAAGUUUCUACCCAAUAACCGUAAAUUAUUGGACUAUGAGGGAAAGUCAAUAUGUU
rfam:Bacillus sp. X1(2014), complete genome.